GUGGGGAAUCUUGCGCAAUGGGCGAAAGCCUGACGCAGCCAUGCCGCGUGGAUGAUGAAGGUCUUAGGAUUGUAAAAUCCUUUCACCGGUGAAGAUAAUGACUGUAGCCGGAGAAGAAGCCCCGGCUAACUUCGUGCCAGCAGCCGCGGUAAUACGAAGGGGGCUAGCGUUGCUCGGAUUUACUGGGCGUAAAGGGCGCGUAGGCGGACAUUUAAGUCGGGGGUGAAAUCCCGGGGCUCAACCUCGGAACUGCCUUUGAUACUGGGUGUCUUGAGUAUGAGAGAGGUGUGUGGAACUCCGAGUGUAGAGGUGAAAUUCGUAGAUAUUCGGAAGAACACCAGUGGCGAAGGCGACACACUGGCUCAUUACUGACGCUGAGGCGCGAAAGCGUGGGGAGCAAACAGGAUUAGAAACCCCAGUAGUCC
rnacentral:rRNA from 1 species